CCUACGGGUGGCAACAGUGAGGAAUAUUGGUCAAUGGACGAGAGUCUGAACCAGCCAAGUAGCGUGAAGGAUGACUGCCCUAUGGGUUGUAAACUUCUUUUAUAUGGGAAUAAAAUGUUCCACGUGUGGGAUUUUGUAUGUACCCUAUGAAUAAGGAUCGGCUAACUCCGUGCCAGCAGCCGCGGUAAUACGGAGGAUCCGAGCGUUAUCCGGAUUUAUUGGGUUUAAAGGGAGCGUAGGUGGAUUGUUAAGUCAGUUGUGAAAGUUUGCGGCUCAACCGUAAAAUUGCAGUUGAAACUGGCAGUCUUGAGUACAGUAGAGGUGGGCGGAAUGCGUGGUGUAGCGGUGAAAUGCUUAGAUAUCACGAAGAACUCCGAUUGCGAAGGCAGUUCACUGGACUGCAACUGACACUGAGGCUCGAAAGUGUGGGUAUCAAACAGGAUUAGAUACCCCAGUAGUC
rnacentral:rRNA from 1 species